rnacentral:rRNA from 1 species
UACGUAGGGGGCUAGCGUUGUCCGGAAUCAUUGGGCGUAAAGAGCGCGUAGGCGGCCAGAUAAGUCCGGUGUGAAAGUCACAGGCUCAACCUGUGAAUGCCGCUGGAAACUGUCUGGCUAGAGUCCGGGAGGGGCGAGUGGAAUUCCUGGUGUAGCGGUGAAAUGCGCAGAUAUCAGGAGGAACACCAAUGGCGAAGGCAGCUCGCUGGAACGGUACUGACGCUGAGGCGCGACAGCGUGGGGAGCAAACAGG